rfam:Candidatus Korarchaeum cryptofilum OPF8, complete genome.
GCGGGGGUGGCCGAGAGGUCCAAGGCGCCAGCCUUAGGAGCUGGUGAGCAUCAGGCUCGCGUGGGUUCAAAUCCCACCCCCCGCA